rnacentral:tRNA from 1 species
AAACUUGGUGCGCGUGCACUGCCGCUGACUGACGGUGGUUCGACUCCCACUCCU